GCAUAUCAAUAAGCGGAGGAAAAGAAACCAACAGGGAUUGCCCUAGUAACGGCGAGUGAAGCGGCAACAGCUCAAAUUUGAAAUCUGGCUUUCGGGCCCGAGUUUGUAAUUUGUAGAGGAUGAUUUUGAUGCGGUGCCUUCCGAGUUCCCUGGAACGGGACGCCAUAGAGGGUGAGAGCCCCGUCUGGUUGGAUGCCAAAUCUCUGUAAAUCUCCUUCGACGAGUCGAGUAGUUUGGGAAUGCUGCUCUAAAUGGGAGGUAUAUGUCUUCUAAAGCUAAAUACCGGCCAGAGACCGAUAGCGCACAAGUAGAGUGAUCGAAAGAUGAAAAGCACUUUGAAAAGAGAGUUAAAAAGUACGUGAAAUUGUUGAAAGGGAAGCGUUUAUGACCAGACUUGGGCUUGGUUAAUCAUCUGGGGUUCUCUCCAGUGCACUUUUCCAGCCCAGGCCAGCAUCAGUUUUCGCCGGGGGAUAAAGACUUCGGGAAUGUGGCUCCCCUCGGGGAGUGUUAUAGCCCGUUGUGUAAUACCCUGGUGGGGACUGAGGUUCGCGCUUCUGCAAGGAUGCUGGCGUAAUGGUCAUCAACGACCCGUCUUGAAACACGGACCAAGGAGUCGUCUUCGUAUGCGAGUGUUCGGGUGUCAAACCCCUACGCGUAAUGAAAGUGAACGCAGGUGAGAGCUUCGGCGCAUCAUCGACCGAUCCUGAUGUUCUCGGAUGGAUUUGAGUAAGAGCAUACGGGGCCGGACCCGAAAGAAGGUGAACUAUGCCUGUGUAGGGUGAAGCCAGAGGAAACUCUGGUGGAGGCUCGCAGCGGUUCUGACGUGCAAAUCGAUCGUCAAACAUGGGCAUGGGGGCGAAAGACUAAUCGAACCUUCUAGUAGCUGGUUUCCGCCGAAG
rnacentral:rRNA from 1 species